ACACACAUACGUUGACACACACACGAUCUACUCACGCACACACUCACGGUCUCUCUCACUCACGCUGCUCCAGGCUGCACAUACUCCCAACACAAAAAAGUACCCUCGCUUCCUUAUAUCACGCACACACACAGAUAUUGUGUGUUCGAUGUUGAUGUGUACGGUUAUAUCGGUAGGGUUUUUUCCUCAUUAUAAUUAUCCGGAGAAAGACAAGGCAGGGCAGAACCGGCAAGGAAAAUCGUACGAAUUCCCUACCAGCGCAUUCAAUGUAGGAUUGAUAUCACAGGGAUUGUAGAGAAAUGGGUGGAAUCCAUAUAUUUUCCCUUCAAUCUGUCUCCUGAUUUAACCAAAACAAAAAGAGCACUUGCUCUUUGUCACUGAGAGGAAAUAUCCAGUACUAGGAAUUCUGAGUAAGACUUCAUUUCAUAAAAGCCUUCUGAGCUUCUGCCGUACGUGCACAUGCGCACAACUUCCGCUAUUCAGUAUCCUACCACGUGACAGCACUAAAUUGGCCAAUCAGCUACGAGUACGUCGUUGGUACUUUAGGUGGACUUGAAGUUCCAAGAAGGACGUUUUGAGACCAAGUCGGCAAGAUGUCGCAGGUAACAGCGCUAAAGAAGACCGUGGAGCAGCUUCGAUCCGAAGCCAAGAUUGAGCGAAUAACCGUAUCUCAGGCGUGCAACCAGCUCCAGGAAUACUGCUUACAACACGAGGCGGAUGACUGUCUACUAAAAGGAAUAGCUGCACAUGCCAACCCUUUCAAGGAAAAGCAAAAGUGCACUAUUUUGUAGGGAUAGGGGAAUAUAUCCCACGUUAUAGAGAAGAUAUUCGUCAAGUUUGGACUCUCGCACAAGUAAAACGAUCCCUCGAUUGGGUUAAGUGUACCUGUAAUUCACCAUUUCUACCACUAAAAUAGGGGUUGUUACGUUUUAUUUUACAAAGAGUCAAGAAAUCACGUAAUUUGAUUAAGUUCGUUAAUACUCAAGCAAACUGUUUGACUCUGUUUCAGAUAGAUGCUCAUUCUUUUUCAUGAUGCUAGAAUAGUUACUCCUGUAUAAUACAGUGUAUUCCCUUUUGUAUCACAACCUGGUGGAAUAAAACUCUUGCAAAUUUGCAAUUUUGUCUCCUAUGUCAUGUCAAGUAAAAGCAUAAUGACACAAUGGAAACAGAAAAACAAUAUUAUAGUGAUAAACUACAGCAUAAAAUAGUAACAAAACGUAACACGGGGAUUUCGCUUUAGUUAAUUUUUUAAAAAAUCACAAUUUCCCGUCUUCUUCCCUCUCUUUUUUGUGUUGUAUGUCCAUGUCAUCUGUGUUAAUUGUUUAUCAUUCCACCCUCUUUCUAUAUUGUUCCUCUCUCUCUCUCCCUCUCUGUCGGUCUCUCUGCAUAUUUAUUUCCUUCCCUCUCCAUCUAAUUAUGUCUCUCAUUUUCUAUCUCUGUCUCUCUCUCUUUCUCUCUCCCUCACCCCAUUACAUCGUCGAUUUUAUAUCAUGUCAUUGUUAGGCUGUGUAUGGAUGAUUGCAUAUUCAAGACUAUGACGCAAUUCGUCAUAUUUGAAGGCAAUGAUUCGAACAAGCAAGAGAAGCGAAAAUAAUUGAUUAUUAUACUUGUAGUGAUACUUAUUGAGUAAUCGUUGGAAUACAGUAGUGUGAGUGUGCGCGCGCGCGUGUGUGUUUGUGCGGAUGUGUGUGUAUGUGUUUUGUAUGUAGAUAUGAUACAUUUCUAAGUGGUUCCCGUUUGCUUUGAAGUGUAUAGUGUAUAUCCUCACAUCAUCAUAAUAUGUUUGCCCGAUAUAUCAACUUGCAACUGCAUCGAUAUAUUUAUAUCGCAUCCCCGAGCCACAUCAUUACAAAUAUACUGUACUAUCAAUCAUGAUAAUAUACAUUCAACUCAUUGCUGUAUCCACAUAUACAAAGUUAACGGUUUUCCAAGAACACGAAUAAAGCGGGAAUAGAUACCUUAAUUGUCAUAAUAACGGAAUAAUUGAUGUUUUAGACGUUGUAAAACCAUUAAUGAUAUACUUACCAACUCUUCAAAUAGCGAGGAAAAAUAAGAUCAAGGCAACUGAAUGUAAUUUAUAGUCAUUUGUUCAUUUGCCAAUAUUGUUAAAAAGACAUGUACUUUGUUUGAUAUUUUGAUAUCACAUGUACAGGUUUAUCAUUGGUUUCAUUGAUAUAAAAAUAUCGUUUAUUUCUUUUACUUAUCGUCAUCAUGGUUGUUAUAAUUUUUCUGUUAUAUGACCUAUUCUAUUAUCACAGUAACAAUAAUGAUAAAGAUGAUGAAAAAAUAAUGAUGAUAAUGAUAGUAAUGAUAAUAAUCAUCAUUAUUAUCAUUGUUUGAUCAUUAUUAUUAUUAUUGUUAUUAUUAUCAUUAUUCUUAUUAUUAUACCUGUUGUUUUCAGAAGUGUUGUGCAAUAGUAGAAUGGUAAUGAAAAAAAUUGCGUUAUAAAAAAUAAAUAUUUGUUAGUGACGUUAUCUUGCAUGACUUUUUAUUCGUCAUGAUGGUGAGUGCACAUUCAAUCCAAAUAUUCACAUUUGACGUACCGGUGCUUCAUCAAUCCGGGGGGUACCAGUGCGGGACAAAAUUAUGAGAAAAAAAAGAUGUUACAAAUUCAAACCCCCAAAAAAAAUUAUUCGCACAAUUUUUUAAAUAAAGAAACCCUCCCUGCAUGAUUCUUGUGAGUUUACUAUAUUGAGUAUUUAUAAGAACUUGUUUUAUCAUGUUCAUGUGGUGUUGUAGAUGUCAAGGAUGAAAACGUUUAAGAAAUUUGAAGAUUCUUUUUUUUUUGCAAGUAGGAUAGGCUUUGUUUGAAAUAUAUUCGCCAUUUUCAUUUCUAUUUAGAAUGGUAUUGAUAAACAGCAAUUGGUAGUAAGGUAUACCAUGUAUAUUGUGCGUAAAAAGUAACUGCGUUUCAUCGAUUGUUAAAUCUGUUUUAAGAUUAUGGCUUACAAAUAUUAAUGAAGAGCCCUUGAUAAAAAUUACAAAGUUUCCUUUUCCAAAGGAAAAUAGAAAAGCGCAUAGAUAAUUAAUAAAUGAUUGAAUAUGACAUACAUUGUUCAAGAUGUUUUGACCAACCUGUUGGUUAGAUUAACAUAAUAAUGAACCUAACAACUGCUGGUUAAGAAAAAUCUCCAUUUGUUUUGCAUGUAGUUUUCUCUUAACCAACAGUUAGUAGAGGUAACUAAUGUUUAUUUUCUGAGAGUGUUAGGCAGUACUGUAUUGGAGAGCUAAAACUCACAAUAUGAAAGGCAAAGAUUAUAACAGCUUAUACACAGUAAAUUUGUUUUUAGAUAUUCACAGGUUGAAAAUAUAAAGAAAUUAGUUCAUAUAAGUGGAUAGCCACUUAUAUGAAUUAAGUGAUUCGUUUACUUUAGAAUCAAGUGAUUCGUGUACUGCUAACAUGUUGUACUAUACUGAUAAAGAGUCAAAUUUUAAAGGUCAUUUAAAAUGCUUGUAAUGAAUUAGUGCGAAGCUUUCCAAUAAUCAGAUUUUUUCAACUUUAUGGAUCCGUAUUUUAUGGUCUUUAAACAAAUUAGGGAUAUACGUAGAUAAUGAUAUGAUCUAAUAAGUCAAGUAAACUGGUGUUCGGUUAAGAAACAUUUCUAGUAAAGUCCAAAUGUGUCCAUAGGCUUAAUUAGAUUUUGCUCCUUGUGUUUUAUAUUGUACCUGCAAAGUGAUUUGAUUAUCAGUUAUUCAGUAAAUGGAUGUUGUAUACGUUUAGUCAUAAUUUCAAAGCCUUACGACUUGUAUGAAAUUAAAAAAGAAUCGUUAAAAUGGUAA